UGAACGCUAGCUACAGGCUUAACACAUGCAAGUCGAGGGGCAGCAUGGUCUUAGCUUGCUAAGGCCGAUGGCGACCGGCGCACGGGUGAGUAACACGUAUCCAACCUGCCGUCUACUCUUGGACAGCCUUCUGAAAGGAAGAUUAAUACAAGAUGGCAUCAUGAGUCCGCAUGUUCACAUGAUUAAAGGUAUUCCGGUAGACGAUGGGGAUGCGUUCCAUUAGAUAGUAGGCGGGGUAACGGCCCACCUAGUCUUCGAUGGAUAGGGGUUCUGAGAGGAAGGUCCCCCACAUUGGAACUGAGACACGGUCCAAACUCCUACGGGAGGCAGCAGUGAGGAAUAUUGGUCAAUGGGCGCAGGCCUGAACCAGCCAAGUAGCGUGAAGGAUGACUGCCCUAUGGGUUGUAAACUUCUUUUAUAAAGGAAUAAAGUCGGGUAUGGAUACCCGUUUGCAUGUACUUUAUGAAUAAGGAUCGGCUAACUCCGUGCCAGCAGCCGCGGUAAUACGGAGGAUCCGAGCGUUAUCCGGAUUUAUUGGGUUUAAAGGGAGCGUAGAUGGAUGUUUAAGUCAGUUGUGAAAGUUUGCGGCUCAACCGUAAAAUUGCAGUUGAUACUGGAUAUCUUGAGUGCAGUUGAGGCAGGCGGAAUUCGUGGUGUAGCGGUGAAAUGCUUAGAUAUCACGAAGAACUCCGAUUGCGAAGGCAGCCUGCUAAGCUGCAACUGACAUUGAGGCUCGAAAGUGUGGGUAUCAAACAGGAUUAGAUACCCUGGUAGUCCACACGGUAAACGAUGAAUACUCGCUGUUUGCGAUAUACUGCAAGCGGCCAAGCGAAAGCGUUAAGUAUUCCACCUGGGGAGUACGCCGGCAACGGUGAAACUCAAAGGAAUUGACGGGGGCCCGCACAGGCGGAGGAACAUGUGGUUUAAUUCGAUGAUACGCGAGGAACCUUACCCGGGCUUAAAUUGCAGAUGAAUUACGGUGAAAGCCGUAAGCCGCAAGGCAUCUGUGAAGGUGCUGCAUGGUUGUCGUCAGCUCGUGCCGUGAGGUGUCGGCUUAAGUGCCAUAACGAGCGCAACCCUUGUUGUCAGUUACUAACAGGUUCCGCUGAGGACUCUGACGAGACUGCCAUCGUAAGAUGUGAGGAAGGUGGGGAUGACGUCAAAUCAGCACGGCCCUUACGUCCGGGGCUACACACGUGUUACAAUGGGGGGUACAGAGGGCCGCUACCACGCGAGUGGAUGCCAAUCCCAAAAACCUCUCUCAGUUCGGACUGGAGUCUGCAACCCGACUCCACGAAGCUGGAUUCGCUAGUAAUCGCGCAUCAGCCACGGCGCGGUGAAUACGUUCCCGGGCCUUGUACACACCGCCCGUCAAGCCAUGGGAGCCGGGGGUACCUGAAGUGCGUAACCGCGAGGAGCGCCCUAGGGUAAAACUGGUGAAU
rnacentral:rRNA from 1 species